AAAAGCAAUGUCAACAGUCGUAUGUCAAUACAAUAUGUGAAUCAAUCAGAGUCACUAUCUUGAUCAUUUUCCGAUUUGUUGGGAGACAAAUGGUGUCUCCAAAGAAAGUACAUGUGCAGACAACAUGAAACUUUAGACUGGAGAAAAUUUCACAAUCCGUUAUCAAACUCAUGUCACAGAAGUGGUAAGGGACUUGUGUGACAACUAAAUGGUAUCUUUUUGUAAUGUUUUUGAC